GGCUUUGAAGUGUGGACGCCAGUCUGCAUGGAGCCGACCUUGAAAUACCACCCUUUAAUGUUUGAUGUUCUAACGUGGGCCCCUGAACGGGGUUGCGGACAGUGUCUGGUGGGUAGUUUGACUGGGGCGGUCUCCUCCCAAAGAGUAACGGAGGAGCACGAAGGUUAGCUAAUCCUGGUCGGACAUCAGGAGGUUAGUGCAAAGGCAUAAGCUAGCUUGACUGCGAGAGUGACGGCUCGAGCAGGUGCGAAAGCAGGUCUUAGUGAUCCGGUGGUUCUGAAUGGAAGGGCCAUCGCUCAACGGAUAAAAGGUACUCCGGGGAUAACAGGCUGAUACCGCCCAAGAGUUCAUAUCGACGGCGGUGUUUGGCACCUCGAUGUCGGCUCAUCACAUCCUGGGGCUGAAGUAGGUCCCAAGGGUACGGCUGUUCGCCGUUUAAAGUGGUACGCGAGCUGGGUUUAGAACGUCGUGAGACAGUUCGGUCCCUAUCUGCCGUGGGCGUUGGAAGAUUGAGGGGGGUUGCUCCUAGUACGAGAGGACCGGAGUGAACGCACCACUGGUGUUCGGGUUGUGAUGCCAAUUGCAUUGCCCGGUAGCUAAGUGCGGAAGAGAUAACCGCUGAAAGCAUCUAAGCGGGAAACUUGCCCCGAGAUGAGUCUUCCCUGGGACUUCGAGUCCCCUGAAGGGCCGUUGAAGACGACGACGUAGAUAGGCUGGGUGUGUAAGCGUAGCGAUACGUUGAGCUAACCAGUACUAAUGACCCGAGAGGCUUAACCUUACAACACCGAAGGUGUUUUAG
rnacentral:rRNA from 1 species